GAUGAACGCUGGCGGCGUGCUUAAUACAUGCAAGUCGAACGGACAGGCCCGGCUCUUGUGGGGUUCUCGUUUGGCGAGCGGGUGUGUAACACGUGAGUAUCCUGUCCUUGACUUUGUGAUAACUUCAGGAAACUGCGGCUCAUACCCGAUAGGAUCUCUUGCUGCAUGGUGGGGGUUGGAAAGAUUCGGCGGUUGGGGAUGGACUCGCGGCUUAUCAGCUUGUUUGUGGGGUAGUGGCUUACCAAGGCUGUGACGGAUAGCCGGCCUGAGAGGGUGACCGGCGACAUGGGGACUGAGGUACGGACCAGACUGGUACGGGAGGCAGCAGUGGGGAAUAUUGCACAAUGGGGGGAAGCGUGUGACAGCGACGCCGGGUGCGGGAUGACGGGCUACGGGGUGUAAGCCGCUUUCGACUGUGACGAAGCGUGAGUGACGGUAAUGGGUAAGAAAGCAACGGCUAACUACGUG
rnacentral:rRNA from 1 species